CGUUGGUUUUACCAUUCAAGUUGUUUUGUGAUGUUGUGUUUGUUAUGUACUUUUUUAUUCAUGUAGCCUGCUGUUGUUUCAUUUAUGUUACGAAGCAUACUUCACCCCAUCUGCCCUGGUUGUAAAGCACUUUGGGUCAGCUUAUGCUGUUUUAAAUGUGAUAUAUAAAUAGAGAUGACUUGACUUGACUUUUUGGGGAGGUUGG